AUCGAACGCUGGCGGCAGGCUUAACACAUGCAAGUAGAGCGAGCGGCGGACGGGUGAGUAAUGUCGGGGAACCUGCCUGAUGGAGGGGGAUAACUACUGGAAACGGUAGCAAAUACCGCAUACCAUCAUUUGUGGCCAGAGGGGAUUAGCUAGUAGGUGGGGUAAUGGCUCACCUAGGCAACGAUCCAUAGCUGGUCUGAGAGGAUGACCAGCCACACUUGAACGGAGACACGGUUCAGACUCCUACGGGAGGCAGCAGUGGGGAAUAUUGCACAAUGGGCGCAAGCCUGAUGCAGCCAUGCCGCGUGUGUGAAGAAGGCCUUCGGGUUGUAAAACACUUUCAGCGAGGAGGCGUUACUCGCAGAAGAAGCACCGGCUAACUCCGUGCCAGCAGCCGCGGUAAUAC
rnacentral:rRNA from 1 species